ACGCGCGGUUCCCAUUUGUUGGUUUCUGAGAUCGCCGUAAUGACUAAUAGGGAUAGUUGGGGGGAUUUGUAUUCCGUCGUCAGAGGUGAAAUUCUUGGAUUGCCUGAAGACAAACUAUUGCGAAAGCAUUUGCCAAGGAUGUUUUCAUUGAUCAAGAACGAAGGAAGGGGGAUCGAAAACGAUCAGAUACCGUUGUAGUCUCUUCUGUAAACUAUGCCAAUUGGGGAUUAGCUCAGGAUUUUUAAUGACUGAGUUAGCACCCGAAGAAAAAUCUUUAAAUGAGGUUCGGGGGGGAGUAUGGUCGCAAGGCUGAAACUUAAAGGAAUUGACGGAAGGGCACCACCAGGUGUGGAGCCUGCGGCUUAAUUUGACUCAACACGGGGAAACUCACCAGGUCCAGACACAAUAAGGAUUGACAGAUUGAUAGCUCUUUCUUGAUCUUGUGGUUGGUGGUGCAUGGCCGUUCUUAGUUGGUGGAGUGAUUUGUCUGGUUAAUUCCGAUAACGAACGAGACCUUAACCUGCUAAAUAGACCAGCCGGCUUUGGCUGGCUGCUGUCUUCUUAGAGGGACUAUCAGCGUUUAGCUGAUGGAAGUUUGAGGCAAUAACAGGUCUGUGAUGCCCUUAGAUGUUCUGGGCCGCACGCGCGCUACACUGACAGAGCCAGCGAGUUCUCUCCUCCGCCGGAAGGUGUGGGUAAUCUUGU
rnacentral:rRNA from 1 species